GCAAGGGAUAGUCGUCUUGAAACGAGUUCUUUUCACAAAUCCCUGAAUUUGACACAUUCCGCUAGUGAUGCUACAGACGAGGAGCUGUUUGCACAUUACUAUUGCCACUACAGUACAUACUGUACCAGUAGAAAGGUAUUCCUCCAACACAUGUUUUCAUCACUAGUCAUGGUCAAAACACGAAAGGGAAGAAGCGGAGGCGAUCUUCGCAGCACCACUUCUACAGGGCCAGUGUUGAGGUCAUCAGGACCGGCUCGACCUACAAAGCAGCCAGUGAAAAUGGGGUAUUCCUGUGUCCAUCAUUUCAUCAAUGUUCGUGGAAAUCCGUCUCGACUGUCGCCAACGGUUGAGAGUCAGCUACCAGGAAGCAGCAUUUACUUCACACUUGUGUCACGUCAACAAGAAAAGACUCGCAGAAACCUCGAGAAAGAAUUGACUAGUUUUUGUUAAGCAAAUGGCAUCAAUUAACCAACCUGUUAAGUUGAUGAACAUCAUUUGGAACGUCUACCGCUUACUUGGAUCAUACAGCUAAGGGGAGAAGCAAGAUGUGGGCCUCCGACUGGUUCACGUCACCGACUUGGUUGGUCAUCAGCAACUACUCGUGGUCGAUAAAGGCCUUUCUUUGAAAGAGACAAGAUAAGAUGGCCCGAGAACCGAAGCCCCAGCGAGCUCAUUGUAACCAUCUCCGACGACGACCUGAAACACAUGCUUCCUGACAACAGGUGGACAAUGAACGAGACGGGGAUCUUCAGAUUGGGGAGAGGUGGAACGGAGUUUGCGAUUGUCUCCUCGUUUUCUAUCGACAUGGUUGAUGUGUUUGAUAUCUGUAUCAAUUUGGACGAGAGAAAAGGAAAAGAGUGACGACGGACGGAAAAGACCAACGACGGAAAAGACCGACGACGGUGACAACAUUGUGGAUAACCAACUGAGAUACAUUUACCAACAAAUGGCAGAAUAGACAUUUCAUUUGUUCCAAGUCUUCCCCACAUGCCCAGAUGUUCUCAAUGUUUUAAUGAGAUUAACGCCACCUCGACCUCAAUAAGCUGUUGCAGAGAAAUGAAACGCAUUUUCUUUGAGCGACUGUUGAAGUUGACGUGAGAUUGCCACCGUAUCAAUACAGACGUCGAGAAAGUAGCCAGAAGACUACUUUUACCGUUAGAGAUUUAACGAAGAAUAUAUAUUCUUAUAU
rnacentral:misc_RNA from 1 species